CCCUUAGACGUUCUGGGCCGCACGCGCGCUACACUGACGAAGGCAACGAGCUUUCCUUUACCGAAAGGUACGGGUAAUCUUUUGAAAUUUGCUCGUGAUGGGGAUCGACGGUUGCAAUUUUCCGUCGUGAACGAGGAAUACCUUGUAGGCGCAUGUCAUCAUCAUGCGCCGAAUACGUCCCUGCCCUUUGUACACACCGCCCGUCGCUCCUACCGAUUGAGUGAUCCGGUGAGGCUCUGGGACCUGGACGGAAAGAGCGUUUCGCUUGUUCUGUUUGGGAAACUUGGUCGAACCUUAUCAUUUAGAGGAAGGAGAAGUCGUAACA
rnacentral:rRNA from 1 species